rnacentral:lncRNA from 1 species
CGGAAUGCAUUCUUCCGGUGGCUCCAGACUCUAGCUUGGCCACAAAGGGUGUGGUUCACAUCGAUGUGAUCAUGUUGGCUCACAAUCCAGGUGGGAAAGAGAGAACAGAGAAAGAGUUUGAGGCUCUGGCCAAAGGCUCUGGAUUCCAAGGUUUCCAAGUCCUGUGCUGUGCUUUCAAUACCUACGUCAUGGAAUUUCUCAAAAAGGUUUAAGUUCUUUGGCGUGGAUUCAUAUCAAGUUGCAUUUGGAUUUUGACUUUGAGACUCUGCUUGGGGUGCUACUUACGAAUGUUUUCCCGGAAAAACGUAAAUUUCUUCUAAUGCUUUAUGAAAAGAAUAACGAACAAGUUCAAUGUAUACCGCCUUUAUAAAAUAAUAACAAGUUUCAUAUUGUGGUUCUGGUUCAUAUAUAGUUCUAGCUACGCGUUCUCUUAAGUGCCAACCCUUAUAGGAGAAAUUUGUUGUUGUUUUUCCAUUCUAUUUCUAGCCAUCCAAACAACAUGUUUUUUUACUCUAUUUUCCUCUAUUUAUAUGGUUCAUAUUUAUGUCCCAUUUAUAUCACUCCUAAUUCAAACACAAAAUUAAGAUGUCAUCCAUGUACAGUGCCAUGAUCAAAAUUUCACCGAUUAAUUAUUAAGCAUCAUAGCAUCGACAUCCUUCCACCAAUUGCACAUAUAUUGUACUACUCUGUCAAUCCACCAAUAUAUUGUUAGUGACGCCCAUCCUCAACCUCAGCUUCCUUUGUGUUGCAUCCAGACAAGCCCGUGAGUAAUCAAGUCAAUAGGAAAGUGAAUAAUUAAACUCAUUUCUUACGGUGAUUCAUUUCCAAUAUUGAAGUUUAAUCUUUUUCCAAUAGUCCAUCCAAAUCCCUCUUUAUUGUUGAAAACAUAGGUGAAUUAAUUUAUAUUUCCUCAAAUUGUCCACACAAUAGAAUACCACACCACUUGGAAUCUAGUUACAUUUGAUGCAUCACAAUUAAUAAUUCCUCUAAAUUAAAAAUAAUAAAAAUGCACUUUGUUGAGUGAUAAUUAUAAAAUAUGAACUAAUUUGAUAAUCAAUUUUAGCUAAUAAAUGGGUGUAAUUUAUAUACUUUAUUAUUAUUUUUAAGGAAAUCAUGAAAAAAUUAACAUCUUUGUAAUUUUUUAUUAACAGAAUUCAAAAGAAAAAAAUUUCAAGUGCUUUAUAGCGUCCCACUCAGGCUUAACACGUAACUUAGACUUAACGUGCGAAAAGGCACACAACGAACCUUAAAGUGCGCUUAGCGUGAAAGCUCGCGUUAAGCGCGAAGUCAGCGUGAAAAAGUAAAUUAAGUAUAUAUAAAGAGGAGGAAGUAGAAGGAAAAAAGACACUGAGUAUCAAGACUAUCCAAAGCCUCGGGCCUCUUCCCUAGGGGAAAUCCUUUUUCUUAUUCAUUCCCCUUUUUCUUGACUUGUUCUAUUAGUCUUUUUAACCGUAAAGUCUCUCAUCAUGAGAGACUAAACUCUCUCAAUUGGAGCCGAGUAGCCAAAGUCCCUUAUAAUAUAACUGUUAUUCUUAUUUAUUAAUGUAAUUUUAAUUUCUAUUAUUAUUUUCUUUGAGAUAAAAUAAUUAUGAGUCAGUGUCCCACCACCAAAACUCAAACACUAUCUCCAAACCUUUUUAAAAAUACUUGUAUUAUUAUACAAGCUACUUCCUUAUUACAUCCUAUUCCUAUACCCAUAUUGACAUUGUUUGGUAUAAUUCUUCCACAUGCUAAAUUCGACAAGGUCGAUAUCCGGUUUGGAGACAAUUUCAAACAAAAGAUUGUACCUUUGUGGAGACUCCUUUCAAACAUAAAAAUAGAAUCAGGUGAAAAAUAAAUCAUUAUAACCUUAUAUGUCUUCUCUUAAUAUUUGAUGCAUAAGCAUAACAAAAAGACAUAAACUAUUCAAGUACAAUCUCGAUUGACGUAUGUACGAACGAUCUUUGUGGGGCCAUGGUGGGGUGGUUGGGGGCAGGAAACAAGGAUAGAUGGGUGGGCCAUUAAAUCAUUGCUAAAUAUCUAUGCAUAUAUAACCAGUUCACUUGGCACCUUUGUGGUCACAAGCUCACAGAGCAAAAACAUUCAUUCCAAUAUACAAAAUCUUGAAUCAUGGGUUCAUUAGGUGAGACUCAGAUUACUCCAACCCACGUAUCUGAUGAAGAGGCAAACCUUUUCGCCAUGCAACUAGCCAGUGCCUCAGUACUCCCUAUGGUUCUCAAAUCAGAUCUUGAGCUUGAUCUGUUGGAAAUCAUAGCCUAGGCUGGCCCUGGUGUUCACCUUUCCCCCUCCGACAUUGCUUCUCGGCUCCCAACACACAACCCUGAUGCACCCGUUUUGUUGGACCGCAUAUUGCGCCUCUUGGCUUGCUAUAAUAUCCUCUCUUUUUCUCUUCGCACUCUCCCUCAUGGCAAGGUUGAGAGAGAGAGACUCUAUGGUCUUGCCCCUGUUGCUAAGUACUUGGUCAGGAACGAAGAUGCUGUCUCCAUUGCUGCUCUCAACCUCAUGAACCAGGACAAAGUCCUCAUGGAAAGCUGGUAUCUCACUUUUUCUCACUCAAUCUCUUAUACCAUUUUCUAAGUCCUUCUCUGUUUUACUUGUCCAUCAAUUCCAGAUUCUAAAAUUAGCCAAUAGUAUCAUCUUUGCUUCUAAGUGUGAUAAUAUAUCCAAUUUAUGUCACUUCAAUCUUAAUCUUAAUCUUAAUCUUCUUUAAUGGAUAUUUCUAAUAACAAGUUACUUAAUUCAUAAAUAUUUUAUUUUUUUAUUGUAUUUAAUACAAAAUUAAGUAAUUUAUGAGUAGUAAUUUAUUUAUAUAGAUGACUCUUUUCAAUUUAAAAAAAAUUCAAAAUCACAAUAUGCAACAUCAAAAUAAUAUUUUUUUUAUUAUUAAGUAAUCUAUUAAAUAACUCUCAUCAUAAAUACUCCUUACUAAUAAUUUAUAGUAGGCAUUCCUAUUUUUUAGGAAGAUUGUUUUGUUAUUAAUGAUUAUCAUCUAGAAAAGAAUGAUUAUCCUCUUUUUACUUCUAUGGAGUCUGUUUGGAAGAUAAGAUGAAAACAAUAUUAGAAAUAAAAUUUAAACUUUUUUAGGAAAAUUGACAUUUUUUUAUAUUUUACUUUAAUUUAAAAAGUUACUACUGAAAGACUGAAAGUAAUAUUGACGAUGAUUGUCCGAUGACAUUCUGCCCAAAGUCAGAACUAUGAGAGGUCACGUUUCACUUACCACCAAAUCACCAAUGGCGGCGGAAGCGUGAGUGUGAUUGUGAAAUAGUAGUAUUAUUUUUCUUCAGGCUUUCAAUAUGAGCAGCAGCACAAUUCCAUAUUGGUCCAACAAAUUAUUUUGUCAAGACUCAACAAUUACUCUACACGUGUCUCUAUAUGACGCGAGGAGUUGAACCAACGAAAUGUAUCAACUUCGUCCAAAACAGUAGUAUUAUUUGUAGGGACUUUAUAUAAUAGGUAUAUAUGGCUGAUUAAAUGUAUCAACUUCGUCCAAAAUUACUUUAUGUGAUCUUGACCUGGACUAAACAAUUAAGAAGAGUUUCACCAUGGACGCGAUUAUGUUUAAAUAAUUGAAUUAAACUACUUGAUAAAGAGUUAAAUCAGAGCUUAACACGAUUGUGUUGUUGUAGGUACUAUUUGAAAGAUGCAGUCCUUGACGGGGGCAUUCCAUUUAACAAGGCGUAUGGAAUGACAGCCUUCGAAUACCAAGGAACAGAAUCCAAGGUUUAACAAGGUUUUCAACAAGGGGAUGACUGAUCACUCUACAAUUACAAUGAAGAAAAUUCUUGAGACCUUGUCAGGCUUUGAGAGUCUUAAAUCUCUGGUUGAUGUUGGUGGUGGGACUGGAGCUGUAAUCAACAUGAUUGUCUCAAAGUAUCCCACUAUUAAGGGCAUUAAUUUUGAUUUGUCCCAUGUCAUUGAAGAUGCCCCAUCUUAUCCAGGUAUUUUAAAUUGAAUCAUCACCAUGUCAAGUUUAGAGGUCUUGCUUAUAUUAGAUCCCUUAAGCAUUGUCAAUUUGUCAUAAGUUGUUAUAUGUUGGUUAAUAUUGUUUGACUAAUGGUUACCGAACAUCAAAAUUGGCAUUGAUAUUUUUUAUUAGGAGUGGAGCAUGUUGGUGGAGAUAUGUUUGUCAGUGUUCCAAAAGCUGAUGCUAUUUUUAUGAAGGUGAAUUUUAAAAUCUGAAUCCAUUCCAUUGUCUUACCAACUCUAGAAAUUAAAGGGUCUUUCAAGGUUUUCUUUUCUCAGAAUCAAGUUUUGAGCCGUUACUUUUUGGUACCACGAACUCAUGUUUCACUUGUUUAUGUUAAUGACUUGUGAUAUCAUUUACACAUUCAGUGGAUUUGCCACGAUUGGAGUGAUGAUCACUGCUUGAAGUUCUUGAAGAACUGCUAUGAGGCACUACCAGAUAAUGGGAAAGUGAUUGUGGCGGAAUGCAUUCUUCCGGUGGCUCCAGACUCUAGCUUGGCCACAAAGGGUGUGGUUCACGGCGAUGUGAUCAUGUUGGCUCACCAUCCAGGUGGGAAAGAGAGAACAGAAGAAGAGUUUGAGGCUCUGGCCAAAGGCUCUGGAUUCCAAGGUUUCCUUGUCCUGUGCUGUGCUUUCAAUACCUACGUCAUGGAAUUUCUCAAAAAGGUUUAAGUUCUUUGGCGUGGAUUCAUAUCAAG